GGAGCAGUUUUAAGGGCAAGUGCUUUGGCUUGGGGCCUUGGUGGGUCCCUUUCUGGAGGGGAGUGGUUUUUUUUUUUCUAGCACCAUGAGUCUGGGCUUCCCCACUAUGGCCCAGUGUUCAAAACCACUUAACUUCCAGCCCAGAUGGACUCAAGAUAUGUUGAAGAUGACAGUAGUGAGCCUAUUCUCUCAGUUUCCAAUGAAGGAGGAGCAGCCUUUUGGGUAUGGAACAAAGAUCUGGGUCCUUUACCUUCUGCCUUGCCUGAAAAGGCUGAGGAAAAUUGUUGUGUUAAGAUUAUGAAGAUGGCAGUGACCUGUCGUGGUGUCCACAUGCCCUACGGAGACAAUGGUGAAAUGUGGUGAUACAGCAGAAGCCUUGUUUUGUAUUUGGGUUUGUCCUUGUCUCAGUUCCAAGUCCUCUGAUUUCACAGCCUGGCUGAAGACUGGACUCCAGAGAACAACAGCUCAGCAUAACGCUGGC